AAAAUGGUUUGAAUCGUUCGGGCAAAUUACUCAUGCGCGGAAUCGUUUAGAGCGGUUUCGCAUUGUAUAAAAAUAAUAAUAACGUGAUAUAGGAACAAAAAAGACGCAGUUUGAAGUCAGAUGUAAACAAAAAAAAAAAACAACUGAAACAAGCAUAGAAAUGCAUUAUAUAUUUUGCAACGACACUCUACUGCAGGUGUUUGGACUUCUGACGGCACCCAUUCACUGCAGAGGAUCCACUGGUUAGCAAGUGAUGUAAUGCUGAAUUUCUCCAAAUCUGUUCCCGUGAAGAAACAAACUCAUCUGUAUCUUGGAUGGCCUGAGGGUGCAAAAUUAAAGGGAAUUGGUGAUUUUGUGCUGCUUCUCUUCAAAUGCUUGACAGCCUGCUUAUAUGUUUUUGUUAUAAAUAGCAGCAUAAUUUUUUUGAAACCAUCUCCUUUUAUGUUCUGCAGAAGAAAAACAAAGUCAUACAGGCUUGGAGCAACAUGAGGAUUUUUAGGAGACCCAUCUGAGAUGAAGCUAUGAAAGAGCAACAUCUGAGCAACUCGAGAACCCUAAACUGCAAAUAUGGUUCCUGAUAAGAAGAAAUGUGGUGCUGCAGAGAACCAAAAAUAACCUUUAUAAAGCGUAGCAUAGUAUGGAAAGAUUAUCCAGAGCCUUUUUAAAGUAGGUUUUCACAGGGAUCUUUCACUCAAUUACCAACGAUUCACACAGUCUCACAUAUUUCUGCUUUUACAUUCAUUAAGUUCAGUUCUUGAGUGUUAAGCCCGAGAAUGAGGUGUUGGAGACUUCAGGAUGUGGACAUUUUCCUCCCAAUAAAGAUAUUUAAAGGAUCAUCCCUCAGUAUUAUAGACAUGUUCUGCGAAUAUGCUAAAUUUUUGUCUAUUGUGUGUUUUAUGAGAAAUUUAUUAUAUAUUUUUU
ensembl:lncRNA